AGAGUAAAACAGUACGUGAAAUUGUUGAAAGGGAAACGAUUGAAGUCAGUCAUGCCGGCGGGAAUCAACUUAGGGGAAACUUUAAGUGCACUUCACGUUUGGUAGGUCAGCGUCGAUUUUGGAUAUCAUAAAAUGAUUGGGGGAAGGUAGCUCCUUCGGGAGUGUUAUAGCCCUUGAUAGAUGUGAUGUCUGGGAUCGAGGAUUGCAACGGAUACCCUUUGGGCUAGCCGCCUGAUCUCUAACUGGUGUUGGGUUACGGACAGCAUGCUGACCGUGAUUUAAUUAUUGGUUAAAAGGUUAGAGCGAGUGUAAAUUCGUUAAGGACGCUGACGUAAUGGCUUUAAACGACC
rnacentral:rRNA from 1 species